rnacentral:lncRNA from 1 species
AUGAAAACGAACUAAUACGUAUGUAUAGUAUGACUCCAUUUAUUUUAUUUUAUUUACUUACUAUUUUUGAGACAGAGUCUUGCUCUGUUGCCCAGCCUGGAGUGCAGUGGCAUGAUCUUGGCUUACUGCAACCUCCACCUCCUGGGUUCAAGUGACUCUUGUGCCUCAGCCUCCCAAGUAGCUGGGAUUACAGGCAUAUGCCACUACACCCAGCUAAUUUUUGUACUUUUAGUAGAGAUGGGGUUUUGCCAUGUUGGCCAGGCUGGUCUCGAACUCCUGGCCUCAAGUGAUCCACCCAACUCGGCCUCUCAAAGUGUUGGGAUUACAGGCAGUGAGCCACCAUGCCCGGCCUCCAUUUAUUUUAAAUACAACAUGAAUUAUUUAUAUCUGUAUAUACACAUGUAAAAACAUAAAAAAGGACUGGGAAGAUGACCAUUAAACAGCGCUGGUUAACUCUGGGAAGAAAAUGGAGGGAGACAUUUACAUUUUCACUGAAUACUACUGUAUAAUCCGAAUAUUUUAAAAUACAAUACUCACGUGUUAAUUUUUGUAUUAUUUUUAAAGGGUGAAGAAAUGUUAAAAAAAAAUGCACUUAUUGGGGGAAAAAGCGGAACAUUUUUCCAACUUAAGCUGAAAGCAUGUAAGAAAGAGAAACACGGCCCCUGACAUCAGGAUUAGGCCUGGCAAUCACAGCUAAGUCUUGGUGCUCUCCUGUUGAAUAAUCUCAUACAACAUUAGACAAGGACACUAUGACUUUGAUGGAUCAAAAUAAGACCACUCCAAAAUCAUGUCUGAACAGCGACAAAACCAUGAACAUUGUCCAAACCCCAAAAAUGCCUCAACAUCUUUAGCUACUGAGGCUUUAGCUUCCUUCUUUCUAGACAAAAUUUAUAUUAAGAAACCUAAACAUAUCAUAACACCUCUUGCUUUUUUUUCUUUUUUUCUUUUUUUUUUUUGAGACAGAGUCUCAUUCUGUCACCCAGGCUGGUGUGCAGCAGUGAGAUCUUGGCUCACUGCAAUCUCCAUCUACUGGGUCCAAGGGAUCCUCUGCCCCUCAGCCUCCCCAGUAGCUGGGACUACAGGUGUGUACCACCAUGCCAUUGCUCAGGCUGGUCUUGAACUCCUGGCCUCAAGCAAUUCGACCUGCCUUGGCCCCCCAAAGUGCUGGGAUUACAAGCAUGAGCCACUGCACCCAGCUUCAUAUGCCCUCUUCUUGACAGUAUCCAAUACAGAGCAAAGCCUACUUCCCUUUGAGUUCGAG